rnacentral:rRNA from 1 species
UGUGGUGAUAUUGGCAAGAAGGACACACCUGUUCCCAUGCCGAACACAGUCGUUAAGCUUCUUAGCGCCGAUGGUAGUGGGGUCUUUGACCCUGUGAGAGUAGGUCGUCGCCAUGC